GACGAACGCUGGCGGCGUGCCUAAUACAUGCAAGUCGAACGCAGUGGGGACGGGUGAGUAACACGUGGGUAACCUCACAUCAGCGGGGAUAACACUUGGAAACAGGUGCUAAACCGAUACUGAUGGAUGGACCCCCGUUGCAUUAGUGAGUUGGUGAGGUAACGGCGCACCAAGGCAACGAUGCAUCGCCGACCUGAUAGGGUGAUCGGCCACACUGGUACUGGGACACGGCCCAGACUCCUACGGAAGGCAGCAGUAGGGAAUCUUCGGCAAUGGACGAAAGUCUGACCGAGCAACGCCGCGUGAGUGAAGAAGGUUUUCGGAUCGUAAAGCUCUGUUAAUCGGGACGCGGUACCGGAAGAGAAAGCCACGGCUAACUACGUGCCAGCAGCCGCGGUAAUUG
rnacentral:rRNA from 1 species